UACGGAGGGGGCUAGCGUUGUUCGGAAUUACUGGGCGUAAAGAGCACGUAGGCGGUGUAGAUAGUUAGAGGUGAAAGGCCUAGGCUCAACCUGGGAACUGCCUUUAAUACUACUACGCUAGAGUCCGGGAGAGGGUAGCGGAAUUCCAAGUGUAGAGGUGAAAUUCGUAGAUAUUUGGAAGAACACCGGUGGCGAAGGCGGCUACCUGGACCGGUACUGACGCUGAGGUGCGAAAGCGUGGGGAGCGAAC
rnacentral:rRNA from 1 species